rnacentral:lncRNA from 1 species
CCUCAGUCUUCCUAUUUCUAGGAUGAGCAUGGGACCCCGCCAAGACUAUGGACCGCCUUUGUGAACAACCUGAGGGCCCUGCAGGCUGCGGGGAGAGUCACGUGGAGCCUGAGGGUGGCACAAGGAAGGCAGAGAAGAAGCAAGUGGAGCUGGCCUUCAGGGUUCCUGAGUCUCCACAGGCCCAGGGCACCUGUUCUUGGUCCAGCAAUAAAUGCUCAGAUGGAUGGCGAGGACUUGGGUCACCACAGGAUCCACUAUGGGAGGCUCCUGGGAAAUAUCACCAUCACGACAUUCAUUCUUUCAGGCAGUAAGCAUAGCCAGGUCCCAUUUGAUAUGAAUCUGACCUGCAAAUCUGCAACAGUGUCCUGCAACAUAUUAAGUUUUACAUGGUGACCAGAAAGUUAAAUAAAACAUCCCCUCCCCCCACCUUUUCCAUUGUUAAGAACACACACCUAACUUGCUCAAGUCCCUCCCUUCUCAGGAAGAAUAAAGGUCCCUUCUGUAAUU